rnacentral:rRNA from 1 species
AACGAACGCUGGCGGCGUGCUUAACACAUGCAAGUCGAACGGGUUCAGAAAUCAGCUAUCAGUCAUCAGUUAUAAGGGAUAGAUAUUCAUUUUAAUUGAUUGCUGAUCGCUGGUUUCUGUUCUACGUGGCAGACGGGUGAGUAAUAUAUGGGAACAUACCCUUCAGUUCGGAAUAACUACUGGAAACGGUGGCUAAUACCGGAUACGUCCGAGAGGAGAAAGAUUUAUUGCUGAAGGAGUGGCCCAUACCCCAUUAGAUAGUUGGUGAGGUAAAGGCUUACCAAGUCUAUGAUGGGUAGCUGGUUUGAGAGGAUGAUCAGCCACACUGGAACUGAGACACGGUCCAGACUCCUACGGGAGGCAGCAGU